rnacentral:rRNA from 1 species
AAUUAUUUAAGGGCCGCGGUAUUAUGACCGUGCAAAGGUAGCAUAAUCAUUAGGUUUUUAAAUGAGAUCUUGCAUGAAUGGUUGGACAAAGGAGAAACUGUCUUUAUUUUAAGAUUUGAAUUUUACUUUUAAGUGAGAAGGCUUAAAUAAUUUAGAGGGACGAUAAGACCCUAUAAAGCGUUUUAUUGGGGAGAUAGAAGUAUAAAUAUUAACUGCUUAAAUUACAAAUACAUAUGGAUAGAUCCUAAAUAAAGAGUAGAAGAUUAAGUUACUUUAGGGAUAACAGUGUAAUUUUUUUUGAGAGUUCAUAUCGAAAAAAAAGUUUGCAACCUCGAUGUUGAAUUAAAAUAUCUGUAUAAUGUAGCUGUUAUAUAAGAGGGUCUGUUCGACCUUUAAUUUUUU